CUGCCGCUUUUAAACCCCAGUAACGAAGUACUUCCCCCCUUUCUCGAAGGAGCAGCAGAGGUGGCUGGAGCAGUUGAGCCCUAACUCUUAUUGCACCAAUGACCAAAUUGCAACCCGCUACAAUGAUUUACCAAGACGACAUAUCAGAUUGGCUGCAGGACACUGGAUAGGGGCCGCUCGCUCUCACCGUGGGCCGUGCAUCAGCUGAGAGCGCAGUGAAGGUGCCCAUUAAAUGAAAAUGCAUUUAACAUGCAGGAGGUGGCCGUUACCUGUCAAUCAGGUUUGCAGCAUUCAAGCCAAGAUGAAGUGAAACUCUGAAUGGCAUGCAAACAAAAUAACAAUGCAAGGGAUUGUAAGUUUUUCCGCAGGCAAAACUAUAAAUCCAGAUGGCGUGCUGGAUCAGGCCGAGCUGAUGAAAAAUAACAGUGGAGGGCCGAAAAGGCUGAGAAGAAAAAUGUACGAAGGUGGUGACAGAAUAAGAAUUUCACACCUACAGUACCUACCACACAUGGCUUCACACUUCAGAUAGGGCUUGGAGAGAAAGCCCAGAUGAACACAAAUGUAAAUGUACCAUUUUAGUACACAUGACAUUGUGGACUUAUUGUCUUAUGCUUUCCACUCUAAUGCAUCUUCGAUUUUCGUAAUAAACAUUCAGCAAGGCGUGCAAACAAAGAAUACUGCAGUUGUUGUUUGUGUGUGGUGGUGUGUGCUGCUUUUUUUUUUGUUAAUAAAUUCUUGCUUGAUGUUAUGAAAAUGUCAUUAAAAAUUACUUUGCAGUCACA